rnacentral:tRNA from 1 species
UAAUUAGCUCAGUUGGUAGAGCAAACGGCUGUUAACCGUUAGGUCGUAGGUUCGAGUCCUACAUUA